GAUGAACGCUAGCGGCAGGCCUAACACAUGCAAGUCGAGGGAGAAGCCCUUUCGGGGGCAGAAACCGGCGCACGGGUGCGUAACGCGUAUGCAACCUACCUUUCACAGGGGGAUAGCCCGAAGAAAUUUGGAUUAAUACCCCAUAAUAUUAUUGGAUGGCAUCAUUUGAUAAUUAAAACUGCGGUGGUGAAAGAUGGGCAUGCGUCCUAUUAGCUAGUUGGAGUGGUAACGGCACCCCAAGGCUACGAUAGGUAGGGGUCCUGAGAGGGAGAUCCCCCACACUGGUACUGAGACAGGGACCAGACUCCUACGGGAGGCAGCAGUGAGGAAUAUUGGUCAAUGGUCGGAAGACUGAACCAGCCAUGCCGCGUGCAGGAAGGAUGCCUUACGGGUUGUAAACUGCUUUUAUAUGGGAAGAAUAAGGUGUACGUGUACAUUGAUGACGGUACCAUAUGAAUAAGCAUCGGCUAACUCCGUG
rnacentral:rRNA from 1 species